GAAGGUAACUACUAAUCAUAGAAUCUUAGAAUAGCUUGGGUUAGAAGGGACCUUAAAGAUCAUAUGGUUUCAAACCUCCUGCCGUAGUAAUGUUACCCAUUAGUUCAAGUUGCUCAGGUACCAAUCCAGCUAAAUUAAAGGGUGAAUAUUAAAUUAAAAUAGGAAACUAGAAAUGGUCUUAAAACUGUAUAUCUUUCAAAUGUCACCGAAGGUGCAUCUCAGAAAGAUCUGGCCUUUUCUGUGUCACAUCUGUAUACCAGUCUGAUUAGGUAUUCACCAAGGAAUAAAUUUGAAAGAAUUCCUGGUAAAUAGGCUAGUGGGUGAAUUUUUUCUCAUGGAUCCACAUGAUGAAUUUUGACACUGAUAAUCCACACAUGAUUUCUAAGAAUAUUUCUCAGAUUUAGAAAUUGCCAUCAGGUAUGAUACUGGUGGGUUUGUGUGUCUAAGAGGAGAAAUAGUUUACAGUCAGAAAAAUAAAUACAUUUUACCUUUUGGUAAAUUUGGAUGACUAUAUUCUGUAAAUUAUGUUUUGUUUUUCUUCACAUAAAAUUGUCUCCUAAAUACCAGCUGGCAGAGAAGUUGCCUUUUGCAGAACAGAUGAUUUUUUCACAGCAGUUACUUGAUUCCUUCCCUAGCUGUCAUUUUUUCAAGGAACAGAUCACAGCAAACAUUCCUAAAAGUAAGGAUUUUCUUCUUGACCCUUAUCAACACUGAGUUUGAAAUGAUGGAAAUUUCAGAGCUUGUUGCCCACUAUGAAGGAGUUUCUGAUUUCCAACCCCUAUUAUUUAUUGCUUAUGAUUCUGUUUGGGUUAGAGCCCAUCAUUUCUGCUCUACUCCCCUCUGCCCCUUUUAAAACGCGUGAUUAAAUCCCACAGACACGGUGAGCUUUCCUGAUACUCGAAGCUGCCACUUCUCUCUGAUGCACGCAUCACUUUUCCCUGCUCCCUUCUCCCCCGCAGCUGCCGUGCGUUGCGUUAAUUCCCGGGCAGCUGCUGAGGGAGCUCCUGCAGCUCCCAUGCAUGCCUCUUCCCCAUUGACGCUAAAGGGACUCCAUCCCGGAGGGCCUGGGCCAUGCCCUGCCCGUGUACCUGACUGGCAAGGGGGGCCAGAGCCUGCCCCGAGCGCUGCCCUUCUGGGCAGGAGGGGAACGCGGUGUCGGUGUUGCUGUUGCUGGGGGAGGCGGCGGUGGUGAUCCUUUUCUGCUCAGCUUCGUGACUGUGUCUUGCGCCUUCUCAGUUUCAACUAGCUUAGAGGCUCAUUUUGUGAAGUCCUUGGCUUGGUGGCUUUCUGGUUUGUUUGGUUUUUGUCUGAUUUUGGUUUUUUUUUUUUUUUUUUGUUGUUGUUUUUCUUUGGAUUUUUGUUCUUUGUGUUUUGGCUGUUCUCAUUUAUUUAUUUUAAUUCUCUCAUUCCUAGAGCAGUAAGGAUGCUUUGUUGCUUUGAUUACACCUAGCUUUCCUGAUUUUGUUGUUACCUUUCUUUAAAUGUUUGUCCCUUUGUCAAUUAUGCGCUAAUCUGUUUGCCUUUCAACUUGCUUCUUUCUUUUCAGGGAUUUACAAUAUUAUCGAGUUAAGGAUUCUCACAGUAGAUGGUAAUGGAGAAAUACAGUUAAGGAAGUUUGUUUAAGAGUGCCGAUUAAAACACCCUUCUGGAGAGAAAAAAAAAGGUCAACAACCAGAGUUUUAUGAUCUGCUUUGAAGUAAUGCACUUCUGGAGAUAGUUUCCAGGUAAUUAGUCUAAGAAUCAACAGGGAAGAUUCUGUCCCAUGUUCAAAGGGGAUCUUUUUUGCCAAAAUUACUAAUUACUC